UACGUAGGGUGCGAGCGUUGUCCGGAAUUAUUGGGCGUAAAGAGCUCGUAGGCGGUCUGUCGCGUCGAUCGUGAAAACUUGGGGCUUAACCCUGAGCUUGCGGUCGAUACGGGCAUGACUGGAGUUCGGCAGGGGGAGACUGGAAUUCCUGGUGUAGCGGUGAAAUGCGCAGAUAUCAGGAGGAACACCGGUGGCGAAGGCGGGGUCUCUGGGCCGAUACUGACGCUGAGGAGCGAAAGCGUGGGGAGCGAACAGG
rnacentral:rRNA from 1 species